rnacentral:lncRNA from 1 species
GGUAGCAGAAACCAGCCCAUCUCCCGUGCAGGUCUACACGCAGCCACGUCUCAAGGCAAAGACUCACCUCUCAAAGGCUGCUCUGUGUGAAGGUGUCCCACAUCUCCCAGGCAGCAGCGCUCCUGCCCCGCUGCCCGUCUCCGGUCCCUGGGCCGUGCUGCACACGGGGAAGGAGCCAGGCUCUCACAGAGCCCCGAUUGUUCCAACCGCUCCAUCCUCCCUCAAACCAAACGGCCUCUCCCUUCCUCUCCUGAUAGCCCUUGUUUUCCCAGAUAAAUCCUCGAGCACAGCCCAGCACAUUGCUCUGGUUGUGUGGGGUGUUUGCUGGAGCUCUGGCGAGCUGUGAUGGCUUUAGCACUCCAAAAGGAGAGUGGGGUGAGUGUGGGGAAGAUCCUACACUGAGCCAGGACCAAACUUGGGGUCAGGAUUUUGCCCAAGCAGCAGCUCCCCCCCCAGGUCAGGCAGGUUUUGGUCAGAUCGUGGGAUCCACGGCACCAAGAGAGGGUAAUAUCUGAAGGAUUUCUGCCUUGGGCAUCAGGACGAGCCCCACUCUGCAGCAGAAGCACGAUGCUCCAGGAGCUUUGCAUGGAGCCUGCUCUGCUCUUAUGGUUCAAGCGUGCCUCUAAGGGGAGGGAUAUUCAUCUGCUCCCACUCCAAAUCCCUCCCACAGCAGCUUUCAAAGAAUUUUGUUCUCAAAGGCCCCUUCUGAGACUCAGCUUUCUGAUCCUAGGGAAUGACGUGCUGUGAGACCCACACGCAGGUUCUGAUUUCACCUCAAUAGGAAAUGGCAUUAGCUGGAUAAAGUCAAACCUUCCACGCACAAAGGGACGUGCUGCUUCUCCUUUAGCUUCAAUCCCCUUCACACAUUCCUCCCUUCAUCCUCUCCCUGCCUCUGGUACAGGGUUGCCUUUGCAGCAUGUUAAAUGCUUUCUUCUCUUCAGCUCCAUCCAGUCCAGCUGCCACCUGGAUAUAAUAGAAUGAAUAUUAUAUCUAAUAUUCAUAUAAUACAGAACAUAUAAUACAUAAUAUAUAAUUAU